rnacentral:rRNA from 1 species
GACGAACGCUGGCGGCGUGCCUAAUACAUGCAAGUAGAACGCUGAAGAGAGGAGCUUGCUCUUCUUGGAUGAGUUGCGAACGGGUGAGUAACGCGUAGGUAACCUGCCUUGUAGCGGGGGAUAACUAUUGGAAACGAUAGCUAAUACCGCAUAACAAUGGAUGACACAUGUCAUUUAUUUGAAAGGGGCAAUUGCUCCACUACAAGAUGGACCUGCGUUGUAUUAGCUAGUAGGUGAGGUAAUGGCUCACCUAGGCGACGAUACAUAGCCGACCUGAGAGGGCGGUCGGCCACACUGGGACUGUGACACGGCCCAGACUCCUACGGGAGGCAGCAGUAGGGAAUCUUCGGCAAUGGGGGCAACCCUGACCGAGCAACGCCGAGUGAGUGAAGAAGGUUUUCGGAUCGUAAAGCUCUGUUGUAAGUCAAGAACGGGUGUGAGAGUGGAAAGUUCACACUGUGACGGUAGCUUACCAGAAAGGGACGGCUAACUACGUG